AUUGAACGCUGGCGGCAUGCUUUACACAUGCAAGUCGAACGGUAACAGGCCUUCGGGUGCUGACGAGUGGCGAACGGGUGAGUAAUGCAUCGGAACGUGCCCAGAGGUGGGGGAUAACGCAGCGAAAGCUGUGCUAAUACCGCAUGUGAUCUGAGGAUGAAAGCGGGGGACCAAGCAGCAAUGUUUGGCCUCGCGCCUCUUGAGCGGCCGAUGUCAGAUUAGGUAGUUGGUGGGGUAAAGGCCUACCAAGCCGACGAUCUGUAGCUGGUCUGAGAGGACGACCAGCCACACUGGGACUGAGACACGGCCCAGACUCCUACGGGAGGAAGCAGUGGGGAAUUUUGGACAAUGGGCGCAAGCAUGAUCCAGCAAUGCCGCGUGCGGGAAGAAGGACUUCGGGUUGUAAACCGAUUUUGUACGGAACGAAAAGGCUCUGGCUAAUACCUGGGGCUGAUGACGGUACCGUAAGAAUAAGCACCGGCUAACUACGUG
rnacentral:rRNA from 1 species